rnacentral:rRNA from 1 species
GACGUAGGGUGCGAGCGUCGUCCGGAUUUACUGGGCGUAAAGCGUGCGUAGGUGGCGAUUUAAGUCGGAUGUGAAAGCCCUGGGCUUAACCUGGGAACUGCAUUCGAUACUGGGUCGCUAGAGAUCGGUAGAGGGCAGCGGAAUUCCCGGUGUAGCGGUGAAAUGCGCAGAUAUCGGGAAGAACACCCGUGGCGAAGGCGGCUCUCUGGGACGGUACUGACGCUGAGACGCGAAAGCGUGGGGAGCGAACAGG